CACAUGCAAGUCGAACGAAGGCUUCGGCCUUAGAGGCGCACGGGUGCGUAACGCGUGGGAAUCUGCCCUUGGGUUCGGAAUAACAGCGAGAAAUUGCUGCUAAUACCGGAUGAUGACGUAAGUCCAAAGAUUUAUCGCCCAGGGAUGAGCCCGCGUAGGAUUAGCUAGUUGGUGAGGUAAAGGCUCACCAAGGCGACGAUCCUUAGCUGGUCUGAGAGGAUGAUCAGCCACACUGGGACUGAGACACGGCCCAGACUCCUACGGGAGGCAGCAGUGGGGAAUAUUGGACAAUGGGCGAAAGCCUGAUCCAGCAAUGCCGCGUGAGUGAUGAAGGCCUUAGGGUUGUAAAGCUCUUUUACCCGGGAUGAUAAUGACAGUACCGGGAGAAUAAGCUCCGGCUAACUCCGUGCCAGCAGCCGCGGUAAU
rnacentral:rRNA from 1 species